rnacentral:lncRNA from 1 species
UUCCCCAGUUCCCGAUGGGUCCCGGCUCGGACGGUCCGAUGGGCGGCAUGGGUGGCAUGGAGCCACACCACAUGAAUGGAUCAUUAGGGUCAGGCGACAUAGACGGACUUCCAAAAAAUUCUCCUAACAACAUAAGUGGCAUUAGCAAUCCUCCAGGCACCCCUCGAGAUGACGGCGAGCUAGGAGGGAACUUCCUCCACUCCUUUCAGAACGACAAUUAUUCUCCAAGCAUGACGAUGAGUGUGUGAUCCCCCCUUCUCCGAGACGCUGAGAGAGCAGGCAUUGCAGGCGGGAAGAUGCCAGAAAUUAUGCAAGAAGUGAGGUGUCAUUAUCCAGGAGCUGGUGGGGAGGGCAUCUCCCUGCUCCCCUCAACCCCCUCCCACCCCAUCCACGCCCCCUACCUUUCCCAAUUUUAGUUUCAUGCAAUAAAAAGGCCAAACUUUUUAUUCCAUAAAACAAGAAGGACAAAACUCUCAAAAAUGUAUUUCAAGUCAGUGACCAGAAAAAUCCCACCCCUUGCCCUUUCCCCAAAGGACCUUUUCUGUACAUGACACUUUUUUGUUGUUUUUUGUUUGGGGUUUUACCAUUGUUGGGAUUUUUUUAUUUGUUUUCAGGGGGGUUUUUUGGGGGAAAAUUUUUUUAAAUGGAAGCUUCUAGCAAGCCCCCCACCCCAAUCAACCUCUAUGCUUUCUUCUUAAAAAAAAAAAAAAAGGAAAAAGGAAAAAAAAAAAAGGAAAACCAGAAGCCCUGCUGUCUGUCUGUGCCCAAGCCCUUCCACCAGAAAAGCUAGUCUAGGUGUGAGAGCCCACAUUGUCUGUAGCCAUCAAAAAUAAUAAUAAUAAACUGGACAGUUUACAAUCGU